UUUGUCCUACGGGAGGCAGCAGUGAGGAAUAUUGGUCAAUGGGCUUACGCCUGAACCAGCCAAGUCGCGUGAGGGAAGACUGCCCUAUGGGUUGUAAACCUCUUUUGUCAGGGAACAAAGGCGGGGACGUGUCCCCGGAUGAGUGUACCUGAAGAAAAAGCAUCGGCUAACUCCGUGCCAGCAGCCGCGGUAAUACGGAGGAUGCGAGCGUUAUCCGGAUUUAUUGGGUUUAAAGGGUGCGCAGGCGGUCUGUUAAGUCAGCGGUCAAAGCCCGGGGCUCAACCCCGGCCCGCCGUUGAAACUGG
rnacentral:rRNA from 1 species